rnacentral:rRNA from 1 species
AUUGAACGCUGGCGGCAGGCCUAACACAUGCAAGUCGAGCGAGCGGCGGACGGGUGAGUAAUGUAUGGGGAACUGCCCGAUGGAGGGGGAUAACUACUGGAAACGGUGGCUAAUACCGCAUACUAUCGGAUGAACCCAGAUGGGAUUAGCUAGUAGGUGGGGUAAAGGCUCACCUAGGCGACGAUCCCUAGCUGGUCUGAGAGGAUGACCAGCCACACUGGAACUGAGACACGGCCCAGACUCCUACGGGAGGCAGCAGUGGGGAAUAUUGCACAAUGGGCGCAAGCCUGAUGCAGCCAUGCCGCGUGUAUGAAGAAGGCCUUCGGGUUGUAAAGUACUUUCAGCGGGGAGGCGUUACCCGCAGAAGAAGCACCGGCUAACUCCGUGCCAGCAGCCGCGGUAAUAC